rnacentral:rRNA from 1 species
GUGCCAGACUCCUACGGGAGGCAGCAGUGGGGAAUAUUGCACAAUGGGGGAAACCCUGAUGCAGCGACGCCGCGUGAGCAAUGAAGUAUUUCGGUAUGUAAAGCUCUAUCAGCAGGGAAGAAAAUGACGGUACCUGACUAAGAAGCCCCGGCUAACUACGUGCCAGCAGCCGCGGUAAUGCGUAGGGGGCAAGCGUUAUCCGGAUUUACUGGGUGUAAAGGGAGCGUAGACGGCGACGCAAGUCUGGAGUGAAAGCCCGGGGCCCAGCCCCGGGACUGCUCUGGAAACUGCGUCGCUGGAGUACGGGAGGGGCAGGCGGAAUUCCUGGUGUAGCGGUGAAAUGCGUAGAUAUCAGGAGGAACACCGGCGGCGAAGGCGGCCUGCUGGACCGUGACUGACGUUGAGGCUCGAGAGCGUGGGGAGCAAACAGGAUUAGAUACCCGCGUA